UACGUAGGAUGCGAGCGUUGUUCGGAAUUACUGGGCGUAAAGAGUACGUAGGCGGUUUGGUAAGUCUGCUAUUAAAGACCGGGGCUCAACUUCGGGAGUGUAGUGGAAACUGUCAGACUAGAGGACAAUAGAGGAAGUCGGAAUUCUCAGUGUAGCGGUGAAAUGCGUAGAUAUUGGGAAGAACACCAGUGGCGAAAGCGGACUUCUGGGUUGUUACUGACGCUGAGGUACGAAAGCGUGGGGAGCAAACGGG
rnacentral:rRNA from 1 species